rnacentral:rRNA from 1 species
GUAGGGAAUCUUGCGCAAUGGGCGAAAGCCUGACGCAGCCAUGCCGCGUGAAUGAUGAAGGUCUUAGGAUUGUAAAAUUCUUUCACCGGGGACGAUAAUGACGGUACCCGGAGAAGAAGCCCCGGCUAACUUCGUGCCAGCAGCCGCGGUAAUACGAAGGGGGCUAGCGUUGCUCGGAAUUACUGGGCGUAAAGGGAGCGUAGGCGGAUAGUUUAGUCAGAGGUGAAAGCCCAGGGCUCAACCUUGGAAUUGCCUUUGAUACUGGCUAUCUUGAGUGUGGAAGAGGUAUGUGGAACUCCGAGUGUAGAGGUGAAAUUCGUAGAUAUUCGGAAGAACACCAGUGGCGAAGGCGACAUACUGGUCCAUUACUGACGCUGAGGUGCGAAAGCAUGGGGAGCAAACAGGAUUAGAUACCCGAGUAGUCC